rnacentral:rRNA from 1 species
GGUUAAGCGACUAAGCGUACACGGUGGAUGCCCUGGCAGUCAGAGGCGAUGAAGGACGUGCUAAUCUGCGAUAAGCGUCGGUAAGGUGAUAUGAACCGUUAUAACCGGCGAUUUCCGAAUGGGGAAACCCAGUGUGAUUCGUCACACUAUCAUUAACUGAAUCCAUAGGUUAAUGAGGCGAACCGGGGGAACUGAAACAUCUAAGUACCCCGAGGAAAAGAAAUCAACCGAGAUUCCCCCAGUAGCGGCGAGCGAACGGGGAGCAGCCCAGAGCCUGAAUCAGUGUGUGUGUUAGUGGAAGCGUCUGGAAAGGCGCGCGAUACAGGGUGACAGCCCCGUACACAAAAAUGCACAUGCUGUGAGCUCGAUGAGUAGGGCGGGACACGUGGUAUCCUGUCUGAAUAUGGGGGGACCAUCCUCCAAGGCUAAAUACUCCUGACUGACCGAUAGUGAACCAGUACCGUGAGGGAAAGGCGAAAAGAACCCCGGCGAGGGGAGUGAAAAAGAACCUGAAACCGUGUACGUACAAGCAGUGGGAGCACAGAGCAAUCUGUGUGACUGCGUACCUUUUGUAUAAUGGGUCAGCGACUUAUAUUCUGUAGCAAGGUUAACCGAAUAGGGGAGCCGAA